rnacentral:rRNA from 1 species
UGCCAGCAGCCGCGGUAAUACGUAGGUGGCAAGCGUUGUCCGGAAUUAUUGGGCGUAAAGGGCUCGCAGGCGGUUUAUUAAGUCUGAUGUGAAAGCCCCCGGCUCAACCGGGGAGGGUCAUUGGAAAUGGGAAACUUGAGUGCAGAAGAGGAGAGUGGAAUUCCACGUGUAGCGGUGAAAUGCGUAGAGAUGUGGAGGAACACCAGUGGCGAAGGCGACUCUCUGGUCUGUAACUGACGCUGAGGAGCGAAAGCUGGGGAGCGAACAGGAUUAGAUACCCUGGUAGUCCACGCCGUAAACGAUGAGUGCUAAGUGUUAGGGGGUUUCCGCCCCUUAGUGCUGCAGCUAACGCAUAAGCACUCCGCCUGGGGAGUACGGUCGAAGACUGAAACUCAAAGGAAUUGACGGGGGCCCGCACAAGCGGUGGAGCAUGUGGUUUAAUUCGAAGCAACGCGAAGAACCUUACCAGGUCUUGACAUCCUCUGACAACCCUAGAGAUAGGGCUUUCCUUCGGGGACAGAGUGACAGGUGGUGCAUGGUUGUCGUC